GCGAAUCUCGAAAGCCUGUCUCAGUUCGGAUUGGAGGCUGAAACCCGCCUCCAUGAAGUUGGAUUCGCUAGUAAUCGCGCAUCAGCCAUGGCGCGGUGAAUACGUUCCCGGGCCUUGUACACACCGCCCGUCAAGCCAUGGGAGCCGGGGGUGCCUGAAGUUCGUGACCGCAAGGAGCGACCUAGGGCAAAACUGGUGACUGGGGCUAAGUCGUAACAAGGUAUC
rnacentral:rRNA from 1 species